rnacentral:tRNA from 1 species
GAGAGUAUAAUUCGGUGGUAGAGCACAUGUUUAGCAGGCACAAGGUCCUGGGUUCAAUCCCCAGUACCUUCA